AUUGAACGCUGGCGGCAUGCCUUACACAUGCAAGUCGAACGGUAACGCGGGGCAACCUGGCGACGAGUGGCGAACGGGUGAGUAAUGUAUCGGAACGUGCCCAGUUGUGGGGGAUAACUGCUCGAAAGAGCAGCUAAUACCGCAUACGACCUGAGGGUGAAAGCGGGGGAUCGCAAGACCUCGCGCAAUUGGAGCGGCCGAUAUCAGAUUAGGUAGUUGGUGGGGUAAAGGCCCACCAAGCCAACGAUCUGUAGCUGGUCUGAGAGGACGACCAGCCACACUGGGACUGAGACACGGCCCAGACUCCUACGGGAGGCAGCAGUGGGGAAUUUUGGACAAUGGACGCAAGUCUGAUCCAGCCAUGCCGCGUGCGGGAAGAAGGCCUUCGGGUUGUAAACCGCUUUUGUCAGGGAAGAAAAGGGCGACUCUAAUACAGUUGCCUCAUGACGGUACCUGAAGAAUAAGCACCGGCUAACUACGUGCCAGCCGCCGCAGUAAAGA
rnacentral:rRNA from 1 species